rnacentral:rRNA from 1 species
UACGAAGGGGGCGAGCGUUGUUCGGAUUUACUGGGCGUAAAGGGCGCGCAGGCGGUCUUGAAAGUCAGGCGUGAAAGCCCCGGGCUUAACCUGGGAAUUGCGCUUGAUACUCUGAGACUGGAGUACGGGAGAGGAGAGUGGAAUUCCCAGUGUAGAGGUGAAAUUCGUAGAUAUUGGGAAGAACACCGGUGGCGAAGGCGGCUAUCUGGACCGUAACUGACGCUGAGGCGCGAAAGCGUGGGGAGCAAACAGG